ACGUUUUCUAUGCUCUCGUAUUUGCAACUUUUAAUUGGAUCGAAGACCUUGUGACUUGUUCCUGAGAAAAUGAUAUACGCCGCGGCGCGUGGAUUGUUAGAGAAAUAUGUAUUCGGUCAGGCAUAAUCACGGAAUAACGGUGAAAUUUCAGAAAGUAUUUUAAUUACGUUAGUCAAUAGUGGAAGAAAGUGCGUGGAAAGUUUCGUGGAAAAGGUGAUAAACUAAUUCGCUCGAAAAUAUAAUUUACAUAAUCCCCUAGGAAGACCAACGAUGAUACGUGCAUACAAAGGUUAUCGUGUUCGCUCGUUUCAAUUAUCUGGGUCGGUUUGUUUGAUCGAAUACAUUGCACCGAAGACUAUUUUCUUGUAAGAUUGUUCUAUCGUAAAUUCAUUCAAAGCUUUCAGAGCGUGAAACAUUUGUCAUUGUCUUGUUUCACGGCACCUAGAAGAAUCAAUUAGUCGACAGCAGUUUUAUCGAGAACAUGAUCGAGUAUUAUUUCAGUUAUUAUUUCAAAAUUAUAGAAACUGCACCAGCAGAAUAUACUUGGUCGAAAAAUACACUUUUUCCAUCUUAAGUAGAGCGAAAUUCCCACUGAAAUGGAAGUAAAUAUUUACUCGAACGGAGGGUUCAUAUUUAUCAAGACUCUAUUGAAGAAUGAUUUAAUGCAGACGAGUGAAACUUCUAUGAGAAUCCGUUGGAAUUCAGUGACUUUACAAAUCACUCUUCAAAAAAAAAAGUGAGGAAUCAGUCUCCCAGAUUUAGAGAGUAGAAUCCUAUACUCUAUAAAUAGUUCGCAUAAUACGGGUCCGUACAACACGACGCAAAAGUUGCGGCUACGUAUAACAAGGAAGAAAGAACUUGUACAACACGACUUAAGAUAUCGUUCAAAUGUUUGCGUCGGAGAAAAGAACAUGUGUUCUAAAAGUUUUCAACCUCGAUGUUACCUUACCACGUUCAUUUUCGAACGAAUACGAUAGCCACGGCGAACACGUGCGCGGGUACCGCACCGCAGCAGUCGACUGACUCGUGGCGUGGAAGCUUCGUCAGACGUAAUCGGUUCCACCGAAUACGGUAACCGCUUAAUAAGGAUUCCUUGGACGUCGUCAUUGACGAAGACCAAGUGACAAGGGUCGCUAUAUCGAGAUAUUUCACCUCGAUAGCACUCUCGAUUACCUUUUUAGCGAUUCGAGUUCUGGAAAAGGAUGCACGCUCCGUGAUUUAUUCGAAAACACUUUUUAAUAAUCGUUGCAAAACUUCUAACACCAUUAUACUAUUCUGCCUGUAUACGAGGUCUGUUCAGAAAAUAAUCAAACUUUAUU